rnacentral:rRNA from 1 species
GGUAGUGUAGUUAACACCUGCAUUAUUUGACGUUACCUACAGAAGAAGCACCGGCUAACUCCGUGCCAGCAGCCGCGGUAAUACGGAGGGUGCGAGCGUUAAUCGGAAUUACUGGGCGUAAAGCGCAUGCAGGCGGCCUGUUAAGUCAGAUGUGAAAGCCCGGGGCUUAACCUCGGAAUUGCAUUUGAAACUGGCAGGCUAGAGUCUUGUAGAGGGGGGUAGGAAUUUCAGGUGUAGCGGUGAAAUGCGUAGAGAUCUGAAGGAAUACCAGUGGCGAAGGCGGCCCCCUGGACAAAGACUGACGCUCAGAUGCGAAAGCGUGGGGAGCAAACAGGAUUAGAUACCCUGGUAG